rnacentral:rRNA from 1 species
GCAUCUGUGCAUGCAGCAUAUCAAUAAGCGGAGGAAAAGAAACUAACAAGGAUUCCCCUAGUAACGGCGAGUGAAGCGGGAAGAGCUCAAAUUUGAAAUCUUAAAGGGUUUCCCUUUACGAAUUGUAGUUUAAAGAAGUGUUUUCUGUUGAGGUUUUGGUAAAAGUUCUUUGGAAUAGGACAUCAUAGAGGGUGAGAAUCCCGUAUUUGACCUUUACUUUCAACUUUGUGAUACACUUUCAAAGAGUCGGAUUGUUUGGGAAUGCAGUCCAAAAUGGGUGGUAAAUUUCAUCUAAAGCUAAAUAUUGGCGAGAGACCGAUAGCGAACAAGUACCGUGAGGGAAAGAUGAAAAGAACUUUGAAAAGAGAGUUAAACAGUACGUGAAAUUGUCAAAAGGGAAGCGUUUGACACCAGUGUUGUUUUUCUGAAAAUCAAUUAAAGAACUGUUUAUGCUAAGCUGUUUAGACUUUAUCAGCUAAUCUGUUUAGUUUUGAGCUUUUCUUUAAUGCACUUUUCAGUUAACAAGUCAACAUCAACUUUCUUUUCGCUGUAAAAAAGCUUGAGGAAGGUGGCUUGAGAUUCGUCUUAAGUGUUUAUAGCCUCUUGCCUAUGCAGUCGGAGAGAUUGAGGUCUGCAGCGUAGAUCCUUCGGGGCUAAAUGCAUUUGUGCUAAGUUAUAGCAUUUUAUAGACAACUUGUUGACUAUGAUUUGUCUUGUAGCUUACUCGCUUAUGUUAUUUUACCUACGCUUAGGAUGUUGACAGCAGUAUAGACUGU